rnacentral:rRNA from 1 species
GACGAACGCUGGCGGCGUGCUUAACACAUGCAAGUCGAACGCUGAAGCUCAGCUUUUGUUGGGUGGAUGAGUGGCGAACGGGUGAGUAACACGUGAGUAACCUGCCCCCUUCUUUGGGAUAACGCCCGGAAACGGGUGCUAAUACUGGAUAUUCACUGGUCUUCGCAUGGGGGUUGGUGGAAAGGGUUUUUCUGGUGGGGGAUGGGCUCGCGGCCUAUCGGCUUGUUGGUGGGGUGAUGGCCUACCACGGCUUUGACGGGUAGCCGGCCUGAGAGGGUGACCGGUGACAUUGGGACGGAGAUACGGCCCAGACUCCUACGGGAGGCAGCAGUGGGGAAUAUUGCAAGAUGGGCGGAAGCAUGAUGCAGCGACGCCGCGUGAGGGAUGGAGGCCUUCGGGUUGUGAACCUCUGUCGCUCAUGGUCAAGCCGCAACAAUGGUUGUGGUGAGGGUAGUGGGUAAAGAAGCGCCGGCUAACUACGUG